CUACGGGUGGCAGCAGUGAGGAAUAUUGCACAAUGGGGGGAACCCUGAUGCAGCAACGCCGCGUGGAGGAUGACGCAUUUCGGUGUGUAAACUCCUUUUAUAUGUCAAGAAAAUGACGGUAGCAUAUGAAUAAGCACCGGCUAACUCCGUGCCAGCAGCCGCGGUAAUACGGAGGGUGCAAGCGUUACUCGGAAUCACUGGGCGUAAAGGACGCGUAGGCGGGUUGGAAAGUCAGGUGUGAAAUCCUACAGCUUAACUGUAGGACUGCACUUGAAACUUCUAAUCUAGAGUAUGGGAGGGGGAGAUGGAAUUAGUGGUGUAGGGGUAAAAUCCGUAGAUAUCACUAGGAAUACCUAAAGCGAAGGCGAUCUCCUGGAACAUUACUGACGCUAAGGCGUGAAAGCGUGGGGAGCAAACAGGAUUAGAUACCUAGUAGUC
rnacentral:rRNA from 1 species